rnacentral:lncRNA from 1 species
UCUUCGUAACGGUGCCCUCAAGGAGGAUGCUUCCAAAAUAUCCCAGUUCUUCCCUUUAAUUAGGCCCAAAAACCUGUGUAUGCACUGACUACAAAAUAAGCAGGCACCUUCUACAAUUUUUACAGGAUUGCUUGCAAAGAAGCACUGCUACCCUGUGACAACCUGACAACCACAGUGUCUACUAAAGGAUCAACUGACUUCCUCACGUGGAAGGCGAGCUGGCCCAUCGCCUCUUAGCAGGAUGCUUAAUGGCACUGCUGGACAGCUCUGGAAGUGCUUCAGUAGAACUGAGAUCUUGGAGCAAAAUGAGCUGCCUGGAAGCCAGUGUUCUGCUAGCAGCCUUCACAUGAAGAUGUAGAACUCUCAGCUCCUCCUGCACCAUGCUUGUCUGGAUGCCACCAUGUUCCCGCCUUGAUAAGAAUGGACUGACCCUCUGAACCUGUAAGCCAGCCCCAAUUAAAAGUUGUCCUUAUAA